GUCGAACGGCAGCACGGGUGCUUGCACCUGGUGGCGAGUGGCGAACGGGUGAGUAAUACAUCGGAACAUGUCCUGUAGUGGGGGAUAGCCCGGCGAAAGCCGGAUUAAUACCGCAUACGAUCCACGGAUGAAAGCGGGGGACCUUCGGGCCUCGCGCUAUAGGGUUGGCCGAUGGCUGAUUAGCUAGUUGGUGGGGUAAAGGCCUACCAAGGCGACGAUCAGUAGCUGGUCUGAGAGGACGACCAGCCACACUGGGACUGAGACACGGCCCAGACUCCUACGGGAGGCAGCAGUGGGGAAUUUUGGACAAUGGGCGAAAGCCUGAUCCAGCAAUGCCGCGUGUGUGAAGAAGGCCUUCGGGUUGUAAAGCACUUUUGUCCGGAAAGAAAUCCUUGGCUCUAAUACAGUCGGGGGAUGACGGUACCGGAAGAAUAAGCACCGGCUAACUACGUGCCAGCAGCCGCGGUAAUACGUAGGGUGCGAGCGUUAAUCGGAAUUACUGGGCGUAAAGCGUGCGCAGGCGGUUUGCUAAGACCGAUGUGAAAUCCCCGGGCUCAACCUGGGAACUGCAUUGGUGACUGGCAGGCUAGAGUAUGGCAGAGGGGGGUAGAAUUCCACGUGUAGCAGUGAAAUGCGUAGAGAUGUGGAGGAAUACCGAUGGCGAAGGCAGCCCCCUGGGCCAAUACUGACGCUCAUGCACGAA
rnacentral:rRNA from 1 species